rnacentral:rRNA from 1 species
AUGUUGCAAGGGGAUGGUGGACAACAUCUCUACCUGUUUGUGAGCAGUCCUCGAUCUGUGAUGAGCAGGACGACGUGUGCUACAAGGGAGUUGCGCCAAAGAUCUCUUAUUCCGAGUGACUAUCAAAGGUGUUGCGAGCCAGUCAUGUUGGCGCUUCAAGGGCUGCCAGACAGUGCUAGUGUUGUCAGUAGGCACCGAUGCGAGUCAGUGAUGGUUGGAGAGGUGCAGCACGGCGAUCUUCGUUGUUGCAAUGACAUCAUUGCAAGGUCUGUCAUAGCUGCUACAAGUUUGCAUGUUUGUCGUUGUUUUAUUUGUUGUUGCAAAGUUGAUGAUGCUCUCCUUCAUUGGAAGGAGGCGUCGGGGAGGUUGGAGCAUGGAUGGAGGGAGGCUGGUGCAUGGACAGAACUCUUUUUAAGCACAAUGAUAUGUGAGGGAGGCUAG